rnacentral:rRNA from 1 species
CCUACGGGAGGCAGCAGUGAGGAAUAUUGGACAAUGGGCGCAAGCCUGAUCCAGCCAUGCCGCGUGCAGGAAGAAGCAUCUAUGGUGUGUAAACUGCUUUUGUACAGGAAGAAACACUCCCUCGUGAGGGAGCUUGACGGUACUGUAAGAAUAAGGACCGGCUAACUCCGUGCCAGCAGCCGCGGUAAUACGGAGGGUCCGAGCGUUAUCCGGAAUCAUUGGGUUUAAAGGGUCCGUAGGCGGUUUAAUAAGUCAGUGGUGAAAUCUGGUCGCUCAACGAUCAAACGGCCAUUGAUACUGUUAGACUUGAAUUAUAAGGAAGUAACUAGAAUAUGUAGUGUAGCGGUGAAAUGCUUAGAUAUUACAUGGAAUACCAAUUGCGAAGGCAGGUUACUACUUAUGGAUUGACGCUGAUGGACGAAAGCGUGGGGAGCGAACAGGAUUAGAUACCCUGGUAGUCCACGCCGUAAACGAUGGAUACUAGCUGUUCGGAGCAAUCUGNGUGNGUAGACGAAGUAGAUAAGUAUACCACCGUCGGGAGGUACGUUCGUCGAAGAAGUAGAAACGUACGAAAGUAAGUAAGUAGACGCGAGAGACGACGACGACGGACGACGACGGGAGGGAGGAGG